rnacentral:RNase_P_RNA from 1 species
CAGGCUGGUCGGGCAGUCGCGGCGCGGCGUUGUCUGCGUCGAGGAAAGUCCGCACUCCAUAGAGCACGGCGUCGGAUAGCACCCGGGGCGGGGAAACCGUCGUGAGACGUUAACCUGCCGGAUAAGGGCCACAGAAAAGAAACAGCCCUCAUGCGCAAGCAUGGGGGUGAUGGUGAAAAGGUGGUGUAAGGGACCACCGGCGUCUGCAGUAAUGUGGACGGCCAGGUAACCCCCGCCGGGAGCAAGGCCAAGCAGGGACGAAACCAUCUGUGGAUGGGAGGAGGCUGCUCGCUUCCUUAUGUGUCCCUCCAUGGUGAGGGUACCAGUCCCGGGUAGGCCGCUAGAGCGGAGUGGUGACAUUCCGCCCAGAGAGAUGACUGCCCAGGCACAGGUUUGCCUGUUGCUGGACAGAAUGCGGCUUAUAGACCAGCCCGAGGU